AGAAGAAUAGAGAGAAGAAUAGAGAAAAGAAGAGAAAGUGUAUUCUUUUGUAAAGAUGAGAAAAGUGUUUGUUGUGAAGGGAUGAAAAUGUUUUUGAGUUCUUUUUCGAUGCCUUUUUCGGUUCAUGUUUGUACUUUUUCUCUUUCUCAUUCUCUUUUUUCCAAUUGGCUUUCUCUUCUUUUGGAUAAAAGAGAGAAGAAAGGAGAGAGAGAAGGAGAGAGAGAAGAGAAAGGAAGAG
rnacentral:ribozyme from 13 species